GGGGGUGCAGUGCAGUGGUACAGCAUUUGCCUAAGAAGUGUGAAGCCCUGGGUUUGAUCCCCAGCACCACCA
rnacentral:tRNA from 1 species